GUGCUCGCUUCGGCAGUAGUUAUCCUAAAAUUGGAAGGAUACAGAGAAAAUUAGCAUGGUCCUGUGCAAGGAUGAUAUGCAAAUUUGUGAAGCGUUUCAUAUUUUU
ensembl:snRNA U6 U6 spliceosomal RNA